UACGAAGGGGGCUAGCGUUGCUCGGAAUCACUGGGCUUAAAGGGCGCGUAGGCGGCAGAUCAAGUCAGGGGUGAAAUCCGGCAGCUCAACUGUCGAAGUGCCUUUGAUACUGAUUUGCUCGAGGGAUAUAGGGGUCUGUGGAACUUCUGGUGGAGCGGUGAAAUGCGUUGAUAUCAGAAGGAACGCCGGUGGCGAAAGCGACGGACUGGAUAUCUUCUGACGCUGAGGCGCGAAAGCUAGGGGAGCAAACGGG
rnacentral:rRNA from 1 species